rnacentral:rRNA from 1 species
UCCUUUUGGUGGGGUAUGGCCUACCAAGGCGACGACGGGUAGCCGGCCUGAGAGGGCGACCGGCCACACUGGGACUGAGACACGGCCCAGACUCCUACGGGAGGCAGCAGUGGGGAAUAUUGCACAAUGGGCGAAAGCCUGAUGCAGCGACGCCGCGUGAGGGAUGACGGCCUUCGGGUUGUAAACCUCUUUCAGCAGGGAAGAAGCGCAAGUGACGGUACCUGCAGAAGAAGCGCCGGCUAACUACGUGCCAGCAGCCGCGGUAAUACGUAGGGCGCAAGCGUUGUCCGGAAUUAUUGGGCGUAAAGAGCUCGUAGGCGGCUUGUCACGUCGGAUGUGAAAGCCCGGGGCUUAACCCCGGGUCUGCAUUCGAUACGGGCUAGCUAGAGUGUGGUAGGGGAGAUCGGAAUUCCUGGUGUAGCGGUGAAAUGCGCAGAUAUCAGGAGGAACACCGGUGGCGAAGGCGGAUCUCUGGGCCAUUACUGACGCUGAGGAGCGAAAGCGUGGGGAGCGAACAGGAUUAGAUACCCUGGUAGUCCACGCCGUAAACGUUGGGAACUAGGUGUUGGCGACAUUCCACGUCGUCGGUGCCGCAGCUAACGCAUUAAGUUCCCCGCCUGGGGAGUACGGGCCGCAAGGCUAAAAACUCAAAGGAAUUGACGGGGGCCCGCACAAGCAGCGGAAGCAUGUGGCUUAAUUCGAC